rnacentral:misc_RNA from 1 species
GAUGAAGAACGCAGCGAAAUGUGAUAAGUAGUGUGAAUUGCAGAAUUCCGUGAAUCAUCGAAUCUUUGAACGCACAUUGCGCCUCCUGGUAGUCCGGGAGGCAUGCCUGUUCGAGCGUCACCAAAUCCAACUCAAGCGGUUUUGCGCUUGGUCGUGGCGGAAGAGUCGGUCUGGUUGCCGUCUCCCCUCCGAAAAUCAACGGCGGAAAGUCACUGGCAGUCAGCGUAGUAGUAUCGUUCGCCGAACAUCCAGUGGCAUUCCUGCCGACGUACCCCCACAAUUCUCGUGAUUGACCUCGGAUCAGGUAGGGAUACCCGCUGAACUUAAGCAUAUCAAUAAGCGGAGGA